rnacentral:rRNA from 1 species
UCUGNUCUGUAACUGACGCUGAGGCUCGAAAGCGUGGGGAGCGAACAGGAUUAGAUACCNUGGUAGUCCACGCCGUAAACGAUGAGUGCUAGGUGUUAGGUCCUUUCCGGGACUUAGUGCCGCAGCUAACGCAUUAAGCACUCCGCCUGGGGAGUACGACCGCAAGGUUGAAACUCAAAGGAAUUGACGGGGGCCCGCACAAGCGGUGGAGCAUGUGGUUUAAUUCGAAGCAACGCGAAGAACCUUACCAGGUCUUGACAUCCCGAUGCUAUUUCUAGAGAUAGGAAGUUUCUUCGGAACAUCGGUGACAGGUGGUGCAUGGUUGUCGUCAGCUCGUGUCGUGAGAUGUUGNNNNNNNNNNNGCGACGAGCGCAACCCUUAUUGUUAGUUGCCAUCAUUGAGUUGGGCACUCUAGCGAGACUGCCGGUAAUAAACCGGAGGAAGGUGGGGAUGACGUCAAAUCAUCAUGCCCCUUAUGACCUGGGCUACACACGUGCUACAAUGGCUGGUACAACGAGUCGCAAGCCGGUGACGGCAAGCUAAUCUCUGAAAGCCAGUCUCAGUUCGGAUUGUAGGCUGCAACUCGCCUACAUGAAGUCGGAAUCGCUAGUAAUCGCGGAUCAGCACGCCGCGGUGAAUACGUUCCCGGGCCU